GGUGGGGUGGCUGAAUUUUUAGGCGGCGGAUUGUAAAUCCGAAGAUGGAGGUUAAAUUCCUCUCCUCACCA
rnacentral:tRNA from 1 species